CCUACGGGAGGCAGCAGUGGGGAAUCUUGCACAAUGGGGGAAACCCUGAUGCAGCGAUGCCGCGUGAGUGAAGAAGGCCCUUGGGUUGUAAAACUCUUUCGUCGGGGAAGAAAAUGACUGUACCCGAAUAAGAAGGUCCGGCUAACUUCGUGCCAGCAGCCGCGGUAAUACGAAGGGACCUAGCGUAGUUCGGAAUUACUGGGCUUAAAGAGCUCGUAGGUGGUUAAAAAAGUUGAUGGUGAAAUCCCAAGGCUUAACCUUGGAACUGCCAUCAAAACUUUUUAGCUAGAGUGUGAUAGAGGUAAGUGGAAUUUCUAGUGUAGAGGUGAAAUUCGUAGAUAUUAGAAAGAACACCAAAUGCGAAGGCAACUUACUGGGUCACUACUGACACUGAGGAGCGAAAGCAUGGGUAGCGAAGAGGAUUAGAUACCCUCGUAGUCCAUGCCGUAAACGAUGUGUGCUAGACGUUGGAAAUAUAUUUUUCAGUGUCGCAGCGAAAGCAUUAAGCACACCGCCUGGGGAGUACGACCGCAAGGUUAAAACUCAAAUGAAUUGACGG
rnacentral:rRNA from 1 species